CUCCAUUUGACUCCCGACAGCCUGAACUCGUCACGUAGGUAAGAAAACUUUUUAAAGACCAUUUGGACUUUGCUUUGUUUCAGUGAAAUGGGUCGUGAGAAAAAGUGCCUUCCAACGACCAACUCCCUAAAUCCAACACCCUUCUCUUUACAGCGUCUUCACAUCCAACCUUUACAACCAAGACUCUAUACCUCAAACUACAGUGCCUUGGAAAAUUACUGCCACAUCGGCAGAAAACCGAGUUACCUUUCGAGUCAGGUUUGAUUCUGAUGCAGGCAGCCAUGUGCGGCAGGGCUUUCGCACGGUUGCAAGCGCACACCUGGCCGGAUGCUGGCUGCACCACACACUGCCAAGUACAAACUCCCCGAAAAACAGGUGGAUUCGGAAACCAACAGCGCCCGGGUCAGAACUCUGGGCCAGUCCAAAACCUGACAACAUCUGCGUUCCUUGCAGGUAUUUUCGAACGUAAGCCCGACGCUAGGCAGUGCUGUUAGAAAGUGAUUUGGAAGAGCGCUUCCGAGCCACGGCGCGCCCUCCGGGGGAGCGCACCGGAGCAGGUGCGGGCGAGCCCCGCGCCCGGGGAGGUCAGGAAUUCCCCAGCCACACCAGAUCCAACCGGACGCCCCAGAACGGGGACGGUCCCCGGAGUCCGCCUCCCAACCUGGCACCUUGAGGAAGAAAUUGUCUUGUCUACAGCUCUAUCCUCAGUACAGCACCAAGCUUACAGUGGAUGCUCAGUGAAGAUUUGCCGAUUUGCCGAAUGAAUGCUUUCACCCCUGCAACUGUUUACUGCCUGCUAGGAGCUCAGAGCCUCUGGGAUACAGGCUGGGAAUGACAGUGCCUGCUCG
rnacentral:lncRNA from 1 species